CCUCUAAACAGCCACCGCUCUUUGUUCUUCACGUCUACCUAAAGAGGAUCAAACUUCUCCUUACCCUGAACAGCCGCCGCUCUUUGUUCUUCACGUCUACCUAAAGAGGAUCGAAGGAGCCAUCGACACGAUGGAGUUUCUUUAAUCUUCACUGUCUACCUAAAGGGAAUCGUUGAUACCAUCGCACCACUCUUUCUUCACUCUUCGACUACGACGACGGCGUUCCGAUAGUAAUCAAAAGAUAAGUUCCAUCUCUACUAUCAAACCAUUCUCUCUUCAGAUCUCCGGUCAGACUAGAUGUUGGUAGUUCUAUUGUUUGUGCUUUCAAUGAGUAGAAACUACGUGUCUUUGACAAAAGAACCAUAUUCAAAACGUUUUGAAUAUAGAAUUAGACAUCGAUAAGAAUGGUUAAAAAACUUACUUUCUCAGCCAAUAUGUAUUGAGCAGUUACGUAUCAAACCAAAAAGUUUUGAAAAUUCAUGUGACAUCUUGCAAACUAAGGGUGGUCUAAUGGCUUCAAAACAUGUGACGAUUCCAAAAAUUAUUUCAUUGUUUAGCCAUAUUUUGUCACAUUGUAUCCAAAAUAGGACGAUGAAGGCUACCUUUAUUUGUUCGGGAGAAACAAUUAGUAGACAGUUCCAUAAGGUCUUGCGGGCAGUAUUGGUUAUAGGUAGUGAUUAUAUCAAAGAGCAC
rnacentral:lncRNA from 1 species